UACGGAAGGCAGCAGUGGGGAAUAUUGCACAAUGGGCGCAAGCCUGAUGCAGCCAUGCCGCGUGUAUGAAGAAGGCCUUCGGGUUGUAAAGUACUUUCAGUCGUGAGGAAGGUGUUAAGGUUAAUAACCUUAGCAAUUGACGUUAGCGACAGAAGAAGCACCGGCUAACUCCGUGCCAGCAGCCGCGGUAAUACGGAGGGUGCGAGCGUUAAUCGGAAUUACUGGGCGUAAAGGGCACGCAGGCGGUUAAUUAAGUUGGAUGUGAAAUCCCCGGGCUUAACCUGGGAAUGGCAUUCAAGACUGGUUAGCUAGAGUCUUGUAGAGGGGGUUAGAAUUCCAUGUGUAGCGGUGAAAUGCGUAGAGAUGUGGAGGAAUACCGGUGGCGAAGGCGGCCCCUGGACAAAGGACUGACGCUCAUGUGCGAAAGCGUGGGGAGCAAACGAGGAUUAGAUACC
rnacentral:rRNA from 1 species